GCCGUAUUAGCUAGUUGGUAAGGUAAAGGCUUACCAAGGCGACGAUACGUAGCCGACCUGAGAGGGUGAUCGGCCACACUGGAACUGAGACACGGUCCAGACCCCUACGGGAGGCAGCAGUGGGGAAUAUUGGACAAUGGGCGAAAGCCUGAUCCAGCCAUGCCGCGUGUGUGAAGAAGGUCUUCGGAUUGUAAAGCACUUUAAGUUGGGAGGAAGGGCAGUAAGCGAAUACCUUGCUGUUUUGACGUUACCGACAGAACAAGCACCGGCUAACUCUGUGCCAGCAGCCGCGGUAAUACAGAGGGUGCAAGCGUUAAUCGGAAUUACUGGGCGUAAAGCGCGCGUAGGUGGUUCGUUAAGUUGGAUGUGAAGUCCCCGGGCUCAACCUGGGAACUGCAUCCAAAACUGGCGAGCUAGAGUAGGGCAGAGGGUGGUGGAAUUUCCUGUGUAGCGGUGAAAUGCGUAGAUAUAGGAAGGAACACCAGUGGCGAAGGCGACCACCUGGGCUCAUACUGACACUGAGGUGCGAAAGCGUGGGGGAGCAAACAGGAUUA
rnacentral:rRNA from 1 species